UACGGAGGGCGCGAGCGUUGUUCGGAAUUAUUGGGCGUAAAGCGCACGUAGGCGGUUCGGUAAGUCCACCUGUGAAAGCCCGGGGCUCAACCCCGGGAGGCCAGGGGAUACUGUCGGGCUGGAGACAAGCAGAGGCUGGUAGAAUUCCGGGUGUAGCGGUGGAAUGCGUAGAGAUCCGGAGGAAUACCAGAGGCGAAGGCGGCCAGCUGGGCUUGAUCUGACGCUGAGGUGCGAAAGCGUGGGGAGCGAACAAG
rnacentral:misc_RNA from 1 species